CUGCGAGGCUCUAGGGAUAGAAACACUCUCUAAGAGAAGGCAGUUCUUACGGGCGGCUUUCGUGGGGAAACUGUUAUUAGGUGCCAUCGACGCUCCUAAUAUCCUCGCCAGGAUCAACUUCAACGUCAUCCCGCGGCCGCUCAGAACGUGGAACGCACUCCGCCUAGACUUUCAUCGUACUCAAUAUGGACAGCAGGAACCUAUCCGGGCGAUGUGUGACGUUUUCAAUGAUUUUGACGAUUUAUUUGAUUACUCGAUGUCUGUAGAUUCCUUUAUUUCUAACUUACGCCGUACUAUUUUUGUUUAGAUCUAAGUUUAUAUUGUAUCUCGUGAAAUGUAUUGACCAUGUUUAAAAGACGGUGGGUUUUAUGCCUAUUCGAGAGUGGCGAAUUUAGCGAUCCAACUCGAACGGGCUUUUACCACCCAGUCCGUUAAGACAGAUAAAUGUCGGAUGGACAAUAAAAUAAAAAUAACAAAAUAACAAAAUAAGAAAAUACACUCACGGUCCUCUCUCACAACACAACGAUCAGUAUGUACGCACAUACGCACGCCACACACAUGACCCAUGACCCAAUAUAGACUGAUGACCGGCUCUGCAGCAGUAUCAGUCGGUGGUUUACCGCAAAGCAGGACAAGUCGCGUACUUACAGUUAUUCACAACGCGCAGUGAGAUAGUGCAAAGCUUAAUAAAAGGAGUUUUACAUCGUAACUAGUGCCUGACCAGCGUAAGAGACGGUACUGAAAAAUAAGUGAAAAAUCCUAAAUCUAAAUCCUUUUCGCUCGACAGGAAGCAGCUUGUAGGCUGAUUAAAGUGAACAAGUCGCAGAAGACAGCUUGAAACUGCGUCCGGUGCAGAGAGAGUGGUCACCGAGGCUAGGCUGCGGCCAGUGCCCUACAAAAGUGGCAUCGAUGCUGUGAGCGUCGGAAUGAUGUGAGAUCGGCCCUAUUUUCUUUUCCACAUUACUUCAAGAUAUUCAACAAAAUGGCGGCUGGAGGAGUACAAUUUCUGCAGCAGUGGAUCAAGCAGCGCUGGACGAGCGAUGCAGCAGGAGAAUCGGCUGGAAGCCGGUGCGGUCCGUUCAUUUCGGUGGGAUGCU